GGGCGACUAGCUCAGCUGGUAGAGCAACAGACUCUUAAUCUGUGGGUCCGCAGUUCGAUCCUGCGGUCGCUCA
rnacentral:tRNA from 1 species